CAAUAACUUUAAUAAAAUGAAUUCAAUAUUUCUACUCUAAUAAAUAAAAUGAUAAAAUGAUUACAUUUCAUUUAAAUUUUAAAUAAUUGAAACAUACAAAAAAAAAAAAUAUAACGAGAAUCUAAAAUAUUAAAAUUAACACGAUUCCUUAGAUUUUACAUAAAAACUUAAAAAUAUAGAUAAAUAAGACCAUAAAAAUAAAUAAAUAAAAAGACAACAAGAAAAACUACUUCAUAAUGGUGGAUUUCUCCACUUCAUCAUCUCUUAUCUAUUACAGAAUGGACGCAGCGAACGAUCAUCAAUCCCAAAGAGAAAUUAUUUAACUCAAGCAACUUGUACUAAAACAAAAGCUCAACUUUUCUGUACAUCAGAUUUAUUAAUUAUAAGCGAUUCAUAGAUUUAAAAGGAGUGAACUAGGAACUCGGUCUUUGGACUUGUUCCCCACUUGUAAUCCAAUAUCUGCACUCAAGUUAUGUCUAAAAACUUCAGAAAAUAUUGAUUUUGAAAGUUUAUAGACGAACUGGAACACAGAUAAAGUUGAGCAACGAAAGUUGGGAUAUGGAAAAUUUAUAUUUUGUUGAGAAUGGGAUCUGUCAUGAAGUUAAGGCCGUCGUUAAAGAGUUGAUGAGAGGGAGAGGUGGUGGAGGAGGAAUAAUGGUAAACAUAGACAUUGUAUUCGACUGUGGCAUCACCNNNNNNNNNNNNNNNNNNNNNNNNNNNNNNNNNNNNNNNNNNNNNNNNNNNNNNNNNNNNNNNNNNNNNNNNNNNNNNNNNNNNNNNNNNNNNNNNNNNNNNNNNNNNNNNNNNNNNNNNNNNNNNNNNNNNNNNNNNNNNNNNNNNNNNNNNNNNNNNNNNNNNNNNNNNNNNNNNNNNNNNNNNNNNNNNNNNNNNNNNNNNNNNNNNNNNNNNNNNNNNNNNNNNNNNNNNNNNNNNNNNNNNNNNNNNNNNNNNNNNNNNNNNNNNNNNNNNNNNNNNNNNNNNNNNNNNNNNNNNNNNNNNNNNNNNNNNNNNNNNNNNNNNNNNNNNNNNNNNNNNNNNNNNNNNNNNNNNNNNNNNNNNNNNNAAAAGGAAGGAAAGGGUUAAAGGAAGAAAGAAAGUUUUGAAAUUUUCCAUGACAGUAGGAAGGAAGAUGAUAUGAAAUGAACUUAGUAUGGUGAUGCUAUGAUGUGAUUAGAGAAGAGUAUUUAUAAGAAAUGUGUAAACUUUAGGUAUUAGAAUCUGGUAAAUAAAAAAGUAGUUAUUAUUGGAUGCAUAUAAGUGUUAGUCAAAGGAUAUUGAAUUUAAAAUUGCAGUGAUUAGGUUGUUAUUACACGGCCUAAGCGUUCUUACCUACUACUUGUUGAUUACAGAUUCAGACACUAUUUUUAAAAAUUGAAUAGUUGUCUAAUUGGUCUGAACGUAGACUGAGGCUACUCAGCAUUAGAGAACUGUUUAUUUAUUUACUCCUUCACGAUAUUUUGACAAUUUAAAUUUAUGUUUAAAAAAAUAUUUAAAACGAAUCAAUUACAAACUUAAUAUACUUAUUUUUUUCUUUAUUUAUAUUUAUGAAAUAGCAGAGAAGUGAAAUAUUUUACGUUAACAACCAGCUCGUCAACUAUUAUAGGUUUGUGCAUAAUAAAUAAUAAAUUGUUGGAUUAAAGAAUUAGCACAAGGUGGUUGAAUUUAAAAUUGAAUUGAUUAAUAGUUAAUCCGAGACCUCAAAUCUUUCAUGAUUUGUUAGCUCGAUCCAGAUGCAAGGAUGAAACAAUCCUCUAUUUUUUUUAUUUUUUUUUUUUAUAUAUUUUAUAAUGGUCUAAUUGGUUCUUACGUACACUGCUUCUAUACUACACCGGAAUAAAAAUGAUACUUUAAUAUAUAUAUAUAUAUAUAUAUAUAUAUAUAUAUAAAUUUUUAGAUUUAUUUGAUAUUUUUUCUGUUGGAUUGAGAUGAAGAUGGAUCAUGUUCAAUUCUUUUAUCUGGACUAAUAUUUGUUUAUCUUUCUGUUCUGAAUGAUUGAUCGAUUUGAGGGAAUUGACCUGCAGAAGUUAUUUCGUCAAAAUUUUUCUCUAAAGAUUUAAAGUAAUUUGAUUAUGGAAAAAGUCAGUUUAUCUUGAAAUUAAACUUUUGUUUAUAGAGUUUAAAAGAAUCUGAACAAUUAAUUUAUAUGAUCAUUAAUGUUAACCUUAAUCACUCAUAAAUAACAGUUACUGUAGUUGUCAUAGACUGUGUAAAGUCUUUUUUCCUACUUCUGUCAAUGGAUCCAUUCGACUCAACACACAGUUAUAUCUGAUUGGUUAAUAACAAAUAUUAUUCUUUUUUAUCUUUUAUUUUUUUUUAAAUAUAAAAAUUUAUUUUUUUAUAAUUAUUUUACUCUUCUAUAAUGUGUAAAAUAAAUAUAAAAGUGUUUCAUUGUAUCGUUACUCAAACCAAAAUAAGAAACACCAAUUUAUAACAAGUGAAAGUAGGUGUAGCCUCCAGCGUAUGAAUUUUCUAAAUAAAUAGUCAGUUUUGGGUUCUUACCAAACUUUAGGAAGGAAAAGGCUGAAAAGAGAAAUUUAUAUUUAGAAUAGUCGUUUUUUGUUGUCUCUUACAUUUUGUCCUUUUUCCCAUACCAGCAUGUAUGGUGUAUUAUUUAUCUCCAUCAUGUUAAAAGAAGAUUAAGAAAAAAAUCAUACGUGAGCUCGGAUAUGUGUACUUUAAUAUUAACUAUGGUAAAUUAAUAAAUGAAAUGAUAAAACGAACUCAUUAUUUGUACAUUUAAUUUAAUUUAUGUAUAUAUUUAUGGUAAUGUCAAAAUGAAAAAUAAAAGAAUCUGAAAUAUUUUAUUAAUUAAAGAAAUUAAGAUGAUUUCAUAUUUAGAUAAAAACUUAAAACCUAGAUGAAAAUACCAUAAAAAUUAGAUAAAUAGAAAGACAAUAUAAAAAGUACAUCAUUAUCCUGAUUUCUCCGCUUCAUUCUCUCUUAUCUAUUACACGAUGUACAUAGUCAACGGCAUAGGUUUCCCUCAAGCAACUUGUCCUACAACAAAAGCUCAACUUUUCAAUACGACAUAUUUAUUAGCUUGUCUUUUUCGUUAUUUAAAAUAUUAAAAUCACGAAAAAAGACUACUUAAAUAAAAAAUAAACGUGCUGUAUGUUGAUAUAUUACUUUUCUAGGAAAUGAAUUAUUUUCUUUUGAAGUCGUUCCACAACAAUAAAUAUACUCAUUGGUGUGAAUUUAGUGAUAACUUGAAGACUCAUGCAAUUUGUGUAUGCCUAACCGAAAUGUUAAAUUUAUUUUUAUUUGUGUUCGAAAUUUUAAAUUUUUUUUAAGAUUAAAUAUGUCUGUGAUAAUAAAAGUUUAAAUAUAAAUAAAUAUAAUUUUCACAUAUAAUUCAAGAAAGUUAAUAUUUUUAUGUUUUAAACAAUGUAUUAAGUUGGUAUAUAGUUAAAACAUGUUAAACAAUGUAUUAAGUUGAUAUUAAGUUAAAACAUGUUAAACAAUAUACAACUCAAACAUCAUAUUUUUUUUAACAUGAUUAAAUUAAAAAACUAUAUUAACUUAUUUUUAAAUUUAAGAAUCAAAUUGUAUUAAAAUUAAAAAUAUAAAUAAAUUUUAAUUUUGUAUAAAAAAUUUAGAAACUCAAAACAUAUCUAAUUUUUUUUUUUUUUCAUAAAGAGACAAAGAAGGGAUAGUUGCAAAAGAUCACUUUUAUAAUAUUAGCGUAGUAUACUAAAGUUCAUAAUCGAUAAACUUCCCAUUAUUGAUGAGUGUGUUUUUAGUAUGGUAGUGCAGCGAAAAGGUUCCUUGGUGCCAAUUUGACAUUUAGACAAUAAUAGAAUGUUAUGAAAAUGUGGACUGAACCGAUUCGCUGAUCGAUGAAUCGAUUAUUUGUUUGUCUCAUUAUAUUUAAAAAGUUAAAAGUAAGAUAAUGGUAUAACCUUACCUACUGCUUCAUGAUUCAAUCAAUUGAUUCCUCCUUACGCGUCAUACAUGUGUUGUUUUGAAUAUACAUUGUAUUGUGAAUAGCUUAGGAAACUAUUUAUUAAUAUGUCUCCAUAAGAUUAAAUAAUCAUCUUUUAUUUGGUCAGUUAUCACAAACAUGAUGUUAUUUCUUUAAUAUCUCUAAUGACUAGACUGUUCAUCGUAUAGAGGCUCUCCUAAACGAGUUUAUUUUAACAAUUUCAUGUUGUUCAAGUUCUAUAUACAAUUUCAUGUUAAGAUGUGAGUUAUAUAUGUAUAAAAUAUUUUAUAAUUUAGUUUGUUUUCUUUUCUAUUUUUGAGGUUUUGAGUUUCUUUUCUAUAUUAUUUGAAAACAAUAAUUAGUAAAGAUUAAAAAAAAUUAAAGAAGAUCAAUAAUUAAGAAAUAAUAAUGUAUUUUCAUAUUGAGAAGUACUUACGUGAGAAUGACUUCAAAUUAUAAAGGAUUAAGAUAAGGUUGGUUUGAUAUAACAAGAAUAUAUUAUAUUAGUAUUUUGACUUACACUAAAAAAAAAUAGUAUUAUUAACGACUAAAAUUUAUUGGAAAAGUAAAAUUAACACUGGUUUACAAAACAUAAAAAUGUUUGUUGGUAAAAUGUUUGUCGUUAGAUUUUGUUUAUGUAUAGAAAAAUCACAUCUUCCUUCCUUUCCUCUCCUCCUUCUUCUCUUUCACAUUCUCUUAUUCUUCGUCUUCUAUCAUUGUAUCAUCUUUCUCCUUUUUUUUUUUCUUGUUUUUCUCUUUUAUUUUCUUCUUUUCAUCUACCUAUAUUUAAUUUGAAAAAAACAUUUCAUCAGAUUUAACAGAAAAAUUGGCAUCCUUUUUACUCGUAUAUUUCUCGAUGAAUUUUAAAAAUAUAUAUAUAAUUAUUGACAUAUUUUCAAAAAAUAAUCAUUGAGAAUUUUCAAAAAAUUUAUUUACUGAAAAUUUUUAAAAACGAUACAAUUAUCGAUGAAUUUCACCACAACAUGAUUAUAACUGAAACGAAAACUUUGACAUCUAUUUUACCAACACAAAUAUUUGUCGGUAAUAAAAAUUCUAAAUUAUCAAUAAAUUCUAUUAAUUAUAUUUUUGUUAGUAAUUAAAAUCUUAAAAUUCAUCAGUAAAUUUAUCGAUAAAUGUUAUUUUAUUGAUGAAUUUCUUGUAGUGUUAGGAGGAAAAUAGUGACAUAAUCAAUAAAGCAAAAAAAAAAAAAUCUUUGUUUUAUGUCUUAAAGCCAAGGUAUUAUGAAAAAUUAUGGAGGAGGGCUUUGUUGCUUAAUUGGUGACUAAAAUAACUCAUUUUGUCAUCUUUUGUGAGUAGUUUCUCAUGGAGAGUGGUUCUAUCCGAUUUUGUUUGUGUUUUGCAUUGAGGUUAAUUGUUUAAAAUUGUACUUUGCUCACAUUGAAAUCGUGAUUGUUUUUUGGGAACUCAAUAAUGUCUAAUUUUGUUGCAAAUGGUUUUUUUGUUGUGGUUAUAAGUCUUUCGUAAUAGUUGCUUCAAUUGCAUUGGGAUGGAUAUAUAGAGAGAUGAGACAAUUAGGAUGUUAUUUCUAUCUUAAUAAGAUUAUUGGAGGGAGAUUGUCGAAAGGUUUAUGAUGCAUAAAAUCUAAACUUACAAGUACACCUCUGGAUCAUCAGAUGAAGUUCUUAAUUAUCUAAGCUCCUAGUUCUAAUGAAGAUAAGAUAGAGAUAAAAAAAUAUUUCAUAUUUUGAUGAAGUAGGAAGCAUCGUGCACAAGAUGGUGUAUAACAUAAAAUCAUGCACAUACUAAUAUGAUUAGCAAGUUUGUAGUCAAUCCUAGAUGUGCUUAUUAGGAAGCGUUAUGUUGAAAUAUUUGAAUGAAUGGUAUUGUUUGAACUAAUGUAUAAAUAGUCUAUUAAUGACAAAAAAGUUGUGAUCUUUCCUUACCUCCAACAAGUUACUCAUUCAUUUGUAGCACAUGGACUUAUUCAAACAUUCAAGUAACUUAAAUUUGUUAUGACUUGUUAUAAAAGGUGAUGUUGUAAUUGAUUUGAACAAAGAAAUAAAUGGUUGAAAUUAACCAAUAUAUUAAUGUGUAUUGAGAUUGAGUUUCACCUAUCUUCUUCAUCUAUAUUUUACUAAUUCAAUAUAUAAUAAUGUAACCACCUAUCCAUGAAAGUCCUUAGUUAUAUCUAAAUUAAUUCCUUGAGUUUAGAACUAAAGGAUCUCAAGCACAACUUUAAUUCCUCAAUCGUUGAUGAAUGAAUCUUUUCUUUAAGUGCAAGACUUUUAACUCAAUUGAAGCAUUUAAAUAUAUUCCUAAUAACCUUUACUUUUUAUAGUAUUGAACAUGGUAUCUAGAGCUAGGUUCUUUUAGAAAAAAAUUUAUGUCGCCUUUGGCACUACACUUGUUGUCGUUACCAAAGUUGUUGCCACUGCUCGAGUUCCAAUUCCGAAUGACGAUCAUACAAUUUGAUUAUCUUGGUCAGGUUACUACCGUGCUAUCAACGACGCUUUCAUUGGAGCUCUUACGCUCUCUCACAUGUCUCUCAAAGUUGUAGAUCUGCUUCAUUUUUUAUCGCUCGUGACGACGCGUCUCGUCUCCUCUCCAAGAAAGAUUUAGAGCGUAGAGGUCACCUCUUUCAGGAUUUGUGCUUGGAGAAUCUUGGAUUUUUAGGGCUUUUUCUUAUAUUGUCUCUUUUUUAUAGACAUUGUGACUCUACAGCAAUGACCCUUUCUAUCAACCCGAUGUCAAUAAUGCGUUCUUCAACGACAAUUUGCAAAAAUAGAUUUAUAUAGAGCAACCUUUCGGAUUUGUUGUUUAGGAAAGUCUUUUGGAGUGAUAUAUCAUCUUUGCGAAUCAUUAACAAUUUGAUAUCACUCGAAUGCAAAAAUACAAUUUAUAUGCGUCAACUUGAUAGAAUGUUAACUAUAUUAAAAUAUUAAAUAUUUUAUAUAAAUAUAUUAUCUUUAUUUUUUUUUAUCUUUAAUUAGUUUAUUAUUAUUUUUUAUUUGUAUUUUAAAUUUAACCCAUAUUUUUUUAUUAUAAAUAUGUUGCCCUAUCUAUUUAAUAUAAGAAAUAUUAAUUACAUACAACAACAUAGUUUAAUAUUAACCCAUGUUUUUUAUCUGUGCAUUUUCUCUUUGUUCCAAAGUAUAACAAUUAAUUGCGAGGAAUGUUGGUUUCUGUACUGUUUACUUGUAUAGUAUUACGUAUAUGUAUCAAUAUUAUUCCAUUACUACGUACGUUUAUGAUAUAAAUUUAUGAGAAUUAAAGAUUUUCACUUUUUCUGUUAUGCAUGUGAUUUAAUUUUAUUAAAUAAUAACAUAUAAAAUUAAAUAUAGAAAAUAUUAAAAAAAAUAAUGAAAUUUAUAUAGAAGGAAAUUAAAAUAUUUGUUAUAUUAUGUAUUGUCACCUCUUUAAUUCUUUCUUUUUAUAGACAUAAUCUAUCCGAUUUUAUUCAUUUUUCCUCUAUUUAUUCCAGUAAAAAAGACGAAGUAGAGCAUAUAUUCAUUUCUCACUUGCUAUAUCUUAUUUUGAAGAAAAAAAAAAGUAAUUUUAUCUUAUUUCAUUUCAAAGUAAAAUAUUAGUUUCACUAUAGUGUUUUUAAAUAUAUUAUCUUUUAUUGUCUCUUGUGCAAAAUGAUUUUCCUUUUACGCUGUUGGAGAAUGUUGGACUUACAAGAAUUUGAAUAAUAUAUUUGUCUCCAUUUUUGGUUUUCUAUACUAUAAUAAUUUAAAGGUUUUAUUUUUCGUAACACACUUUUGCAUAAAAAUUCUUUUUAAGAAGAUAAAAUAAGAUAUUAAUUAUUUUUAUUUAUAAUCAGUUUUUGAAUGGAGUUUCUUUAAAACAAAAUUUCUUUUUAGUUCUUACAAGUAACAUUCAUCAAAUAUAUAUGAAUAUUAAAUACUUAUUUAUAUAUGCGUAUGUAUGUAAUAUGUAAAAUAAAAAAAUUAUAAUAGAUGUUGAUUGAAUGGAUAGUUAUACUAUUGAGGUUGGAAGACUAGUUACAGUUCAAAUUUAAAAAAGUCAUGGAAAUAAAAUUUAUUGUUAGUUAUUUGGUAUUUCUUUAAUAAUUUUUCAUACAUAUAAAAACACAUGUACUAUUAUUCUUUGAAUACUCGAUCCAGUUGCAAGGAUGAGACAAUCCAUUUUUUUAAUUAUAUAAUUGUCUGGUUCUUAGGGUGACUUAUUCUAGGAUAAUAGACAACAAUUUAUAACAAGUGGAGGUGUCAAAGUCUCCAAGCUCAGUUGGUGUAACCUCCAGAAUUUGAUUUUUCUAAAUGAACAACUGAGUCAAAUUUGGGUGUUUUUGGUUGUCAGAAUCAUAGAUUUAUUUUAUCAGUUCAUAUUAAAUCUGUACUAAAAGUGUAUCCAUAUAUUCAUUGUAACAUAAAAAUGAAAGAUAAAAUAAUAGGAAUCUUGAUUAUCCUAUUAAUAUAAAAAAAUUAACAUGAUUUCUUAGUUUUUAUUAAUAUAUUUGGUCGUCACUAAAUUUUAACUACUACAUAUUACUAGGAAAAACGAACCUAACACUAAAAAUUAUUCAUUAAAUGUUGACUUUUUAAAAAUAGAAUAAUAACUAAUCAAAGAAAUUAUAUUUUUAAUGGUUAUAAAAAAUAUAUAUUUAAUUAAAGAUAAUUUUUUAGUCAUUGAUGAUCUACUUUUUUAUGGAGUUUCUUUAUAGUUUUAUCCUUGAAAGGCAUUCUAGUAGAUAAAAGGAGUGAUGAGUAUUUAAAUUGUAUAUAAUCUCAACUCCUAAGCGAUGUGGGACUAUGAGUGGUAGGUAUAUAAAUCCUUUAGUUGAGGUCUAAAAGGAAUGAUUAGUUAAAUGUUCCAUUAACAGCACCAUGGUGGACGUUAAUGUUCUGAUCUCAAGUCUGUUAAGUGAUAUCGUUACGAUCAAUCAUUAUUUUUCUAGGACAUUGUCUCCUUUCAAAAUUGGAAUUUUUAUGACGUUGUCCUUAAUCAACAAAACAAAGAGAGCAAUUCGCACUAAAUGAAACCUAACAACCUUCGAACAAGCACACCAAUAUAUCGAUAAACUAAAAUACAUUCCUUCCAAAUAAUUUAUUUUAACAUUAUUCUUAUAGUCCUCAUAAUGUACUCUUCUCCCUCUUUGUCUCUCUGUUCUAUUACACAACAAACACAACGGUCAUCAUCUCCUGACAAAAAGUACUCGAGAAGCACAUUAUUCAGCUACGCAACUUGCACUACAUCAAUACUUUGACAGCAGAGUUAUUCAAAGUUGUAAACGGCGUGAAUUGGGAAAACUUAUCCUUGGAUUUACUCCAAUCAACAGUCUAAUAUCUUGACUUGUCUAUGCGUGUAAAUUAGCAUAAAACAUUGUACCAAAUAAGUUAGAAACUCCAACUUUGAGUACAAAUUUUUGAAAGUUUAUAGACGAACGGGAACACACAGAUAAAGUUGGGAUAUGGAAAAUUUAUAUCUUGCUGAGAAUGGGGUCUGUCAUGAAGUUAAGGCCGUCGUUGAAGUGCUGAUGAGAGGGAGAGGUGGUGGAGGAGGAAUAAUGGUAAACAUAGACAUUGUAUUCGACUGUGGCAUCACCNNNNNN
rnacentral:lncRNA from 1 species